GACGAACGCUGGCGGCGUGCCUAAUACAUGCAAGUUGAGCGCUGAAGGUUGGUACUUGUACCAACUGGAUGAGCAGCGAACGGGUGAGUAACGCGUGGGGGAUCUGCCUUUGAGCGGGGGACAACAUUUGGAAACGAAUGCUAAUACCGCAUAAAAACUUUAAACACAAGUUUUAAGUUUGAAAGAUGCAAUUGCAUCACUCAAAGAUGAUCCCGCGUUGUAUUAGCUAGUUGGUGAGGUAAAGGCUCACCAAGGCGAUGAUACAUAGCCGACCUGAGAGGGGGGACCGCCACAUUUGGACUUGGGCACCGCCCCAACCCCCACGGGGGGCAGGCGUAGGGGAUUUUCGGGAAUGGACGAAAGGCUGAACGGGCAACGCCGCGGUAGUGAAGAAGGUUUUCGGAUCGUAAAACUCUGUUGGUAGGGAAGAACGGCGGUGAGAGUGGAAAGCUCAUCAAGUGACGGUAACUACCCAGAAAGGGACGGCUAACUACGUG
rnacentral:rRNA from 1 species